GUCUGUUAAUGCUGGACGUCACCACGGUUGAGAACACAGCGAGCUUGUAAACGUAGCCUACGUAUGUAGCCACUUCUCAAAAUGUCUGCCAUACUGUCCUCAUCGGCUGGGUGAAUGUAGCCUCAGACGACCAUCCUGACCGCUGAGCUCUCAGUUGGUCUCACUUCAUUUCAUCCGUGUAGCAAAACAGAUUGUAAGCGUGUGAUAUCAGGAUGUAUUCAAAACGUGAAGAAAGUAAAAAGGUUUUAGCUCCCACAUAAACAUUCAGUCACCAGGAAACAGGAAACAGGAAACAGGAAACACCCUUUCCUUGUUUUUGUCUGUAUUUCUUUCAUUUUCUUAUUUUUUCUGAAUCCGAGAGAAAAAUAAAUUCCACGUCUGAUUCAUCAAGCUCAGGUUGUCUCGGAUCGUUCGUUCAUGUCAAACGACAUGGAUGGAUCGGUUGCCUAGUAACGGAAGGCCAACCAACAGAGCAGAGAAAACAAACAACCAAAUGUACAUUUUUAGAACUAAAAGGUUUUUUUUUCAACAACAAAAACAAAAUAAGAAAAAUGAUUCAAUCCAACGACAGCCUCCCACAACGGCACCCUAUUCCCUCUAUAGUGCACUACCAAAAGUUAUAGUGACCAGACGUAGUACACUAUAUAGGGAAUA
rnacentral:lncRNA from 13 species